rnacentral:piRNA from 1 species
UAGUAGGCCUCAAGGGUUUUGUUCCCUGAAC